rnacentral:tRNA from 1 species
UCCCUGGUGGCUCAGACGGUAAAGUGUAUGCCUGCAAUGCAGGGGACCCAGGUUCGAUUCCUGGGUCGGGAA